rnacentral:rRNA from 1 species
GAGCGGGGGGGGGCCCUAUACAUGCAGUCGAGCGAACUGAUUAGAAGCUUGCUUCUAUGACGUUAGCGGCGGACGGGUGAGUAACACGUGGGCAACCUGCCUGUAAGACUGGGAUAACUUCGGGAAACCGAAGCUAAUACCGGAUAGGAUCUUCUCCUUCAUGGGAGAUGAUUGAAAGAUGGUUUCGGCUAUCACUUACAGAUGGGCCCGCGGUGCAUUAGCUAGUUGGUGAGGUAACGGCUCACCAAGGCAACGAUGCAUAGCCGACCUGAGAGGGUGAUCGGCCACACUGGGACUGAGACACGGCCCAGACUCCUACGGGAGGCAGCAGUAGGGAAUCUUCCGCAAUGGACGAAAGUCUGACGGAGCAACGCCGCGUGAGUGAUGAAGGCUUUCGGGUCGUAAAACUCUGUUGUUAGGGAAGAACAAGUACGAGAGUAACUGCUCGUACCUUGACGGUACCUAACCAGAAAGCCACGGCUAACUACGUGCCAGCAGCCGCGGUAAUACGUAGGUGGCAAGCGUUAUCCGGAAUUAUUGGGCGUAAAGCGCGCGCAGGCGGUUUCUUAAGUCUGAUGUGAAAGCCCACGGCUCAACCGUGGAGGGUCAUUGGAAACUGGGGAACUUGAGUGCAGAAGAGAAAAGCGGAAUUCCACGUGUAGCGGUGAAAUGCGUAGAGAUGUGGAGGAACACCAGUGGCGAAGGCGGCUUUUUUGGUCUGUAACUGACGCUGAGGCGCGAAAGCGUGGGGAGCAAACAGGAUUAGAUACCCCUGGUAGUCACGCCCGUAAACGAUGAG